rnacentral:rRNA from 1 species
AGUGAACGCUGGCGGUAGGCCUAACACAUGCAAGUCGAACGGCGGCACAGUAAGAGCUUGCUCUUACGGGUGGCGAGUGGCGGACGGGUGAGGAAUACAUCGGAAUCUACUUUUUCGUGGGGGAUAACGUAGGGAAACUUACGCUAAUACCGCAUACGACCUACGGGUGAAAGCAGGGGAUCUUCGGACCUUGCGCGAUUGAAUGAGCCGAUGUCGGAUUAGCUAGUUGGCGGGGUAAAGGCCCACCAAGGCGACGAUCCGUAGCUGGUCUGAGAGGAUGAUCAGCCACACUGGAACUGAGACACGGUCCAGACUCCUACGGGAGGCAGCAGUGGGGAAUAUUGGACAAUGGGCGCAAGCCUGAUCCAGCCAUACCGCGUGGGUGAAGAAGGCCUUCGGGUUGUAAAGCCCUUUUGUCGGGAAAGAAAAGCAGCAGGUUAAUACCCCGCUGUUCUGACGGUACCCAAAGAAUAAGCACCGGCUAACUUCGUG